rnacentral:rRNA from 1 species
AUGGCCCUCUUCGCCGCCGCCCGCCGCGCGGCCUCCUCCUCGCUCCCCCUCCUCCGCGCCUCCGCCUCCGCCUCCCGCGGCGCGGCCUCCCGUGGCGCGGCCCUGCUCCGCCCCCUGGCCGCCGCCGCGGCCCGGCCGAUGCCCUUCUCCUCGGCGACCGCGCUGAAGCCGAGCUCCGACGACGAGCUCCUCCGCAUCGUCAAGGCCGAGAUCAAGUUCGCCGAGGACUGCGACGACCACGACCGGGUUGAGGAGGUCCCAGAUAGCUUCCCUUUCAAAAUCAGCGACAAGAAGGGGCUUAAUGACAUCACUCUUACAAGAACUUACCAGGGUGAGAAGAUCGAGGUUCUGGUUUUUAUGCCCAACCUAGUCACUGGAGACGAGCCAGAGCAUGACCAGGACGAGGAUGACAAGGAGAAAGAUGAUGAUCAGGAUGACGGCGAGAAGCCCCCGAAGUCCAGCCUUCCCCUCACAGUCACCAUCACCAAGAGUGAAGGCCCAAGCCUCGAGUUCACCUGCACGGCCUAUCCUGACGAGAUCCUCAUCGAUACCUUGUCCGUGAAGCAGCCCUCUGAGAAGUUGGGAGAGGACUACAUUGCAUACGAGGGUCCUGACUUCAAUGACCUGGACGAGAACCUGCAGAGGGCAUUCCACAAGUACCUGGAGCUGCGCGGGAUCACGCCCAUGACGACAAACUUCCUGCACGAGUACAUGAUCAACAAGGACAGCCGGGAGUACCUGUUUUGGCUGAACAAGCUCAAGGAUUUCGUCAAGCAGUAA